rnacentral:pre_miRNA from 1 species
CUCGGGGCGGGGUUCUCAGCCCGGAUUGCGAGAGGGCACAGGCCAGGCCGAGGGAUCCCACUGGUGCACG